rnacentral:rRNA from 1 species
AACGAACGCUGGCGGCAUGCCUAACACAUGCAAGUCGAACGAGACCUUCGGGCCUAGUGGCGCACGGGUGCGUAACGCGUGGGAACCUGCCCUUAGGUUCGGAAUAACUCCCCGAAAGGGGUGCUAAUAACGGAUAAUGUCUUCGGACCAAAGAUGUAUCGCCUUUGGAUGGGGCCGCGUUGGAUUAGCUAGUUGGUAGGGUAAAAGCCUACCAAGGCGACGAUCCAUGGCUGGUCUGAGAGGAUGAUCAGCCACACUGGGACUGAGACACGGCCCAGACUCCUACGGGAGGCAGCAGUGGGGAGUAUUGGACAAGGGGCGAAAGCCUGAUCCAGCAAUGCGGCGUGAGUGAUGAAGGGCUUAGGGUUGUAAAGCUCUUUUACCCGGGAUGAUAAUGACAGUACCGGGAGAAUAAGCACCGGCUAACUCCGUG